UGGCCCACGAAGCCUCAAAUAUUGCCUCUGGCCCUUCACAGAACACGUGUUCUAGAAAGGAAAUCCUAUGCUCGUGGGCUAGGGGCUUGCUGGGUGGGGAGAGGGGUUCAAAACGUGGUUUGUCACUUCCUAUGAGGGUGAUCCGACAGGACUUCGUGGAGACGGUGGCGUUUAAGUGGCCUAAGAAGAACUGGAAGGAUUCAGAGGAGCGGAGGGACGUGGCCUGGUGGGCAGAAGUCAUGGCUGGGUGUCGCAGGCUCUGUGCAGCUCUGACAGCUGCAAUGCAGGCAGGCACCGCCCCCCCCCCCCCCAAUGCUUUACGGCCAUCGGGUCUGCAAGUUAUAAACUUGGUUACCCCCAGAACGUUGUUUAAACAGUACUGUGUUCUAGAACAUGCUGAGAUAGCAUUUAUGCAACUGAUGCCAAGGUGUGGAACAGGUUAGUCUGGCUUUUUCCUCAACAAUCCAGGAGGAGGACAGGGAGAAGGCAGCAUUGUUCCUGAGCGGGUGAGGCCAAUUUCAUCCUGAGUGAUAGUGACAGUAAUAACUGAUAAGAAAUGAAAUCACAGCUUUUCACACGCAGAGCCUGACUAAUGGCUGACCCUUCCUCCAUCUCUGGGUGCUCAUGCUGGAGAGCGAUGGGCCCUCCCUCCACUGCCGGGGGGGGACGUGCUGGAGAGUGACAGGCCCUACUUCCAAUCCUCGGUGUUUCUGCUGGAGAGCAAGGGGCCCUCCCUCCUCUCCUUGGUGCACGUGCUGGAGAGUGACGGGCCGGCAGUUCACGCCUCGUGCUCCUGCUGGAGAGCGAUGGGCCCUCCCUCCAAUCCUUGGUGCACAUGCUGGAGAGUGACAGGCCCGCAGUCCACUCCUGGUGCUCCUUCUGGAGUGACAGGCUCUCUCUCCACUCCGUGGUGCACGUGCUGGAGAGUGACGGGCCCGCAGUUCACUCCUGGUGCUCCUGCUGGAGUGACAGGCUCUCUCUCCACUCCGUGGUGCACGUGCUGGAGAGUGACGGGCCGGCAGUCCACUCCUCGUGCUCCUGCUGGAGAGCGACAGGCCCUCCCUCCAAUCCUUGGUGCUUCUGCUGGAGAGCGACAGGCUCUCCCUCCACUCCUCGGUGUGCGUGCUGGAGAGUGACAGGCCCUCCCUCCACUCCUCAUGCUCCUGCUGGAGAGCCGCAGGCCCUCCCUCCACUCGUGCUCCUGCUGGAGAGCGACAGGCCCUCCCUCCGGUCUUCGGUGCGCGUGCUGGAGAGCGGCAGGAGCUCGGCCUUCUUAGGGUGUUUGGGACCCCAUCCAGCGUGGUUUUGCUUUAGUUCCCCGCCCAGGGAGAGGAGCUCGGCAAGCAGCACCGGGUUUAUUCUUGCUCAUUUAUUCAAAAGAAAGGUACUGAGUUUGAAAAUGCACCAAGCACUGGAGAGAAGAGAAAGGUGAGAGGACCUCGGGGCCUGCCUGUAAGAGGCUCAGGAUGUGGCUGGGGAUGAGGCCCAGUGGCACCUUCAACGCAGGAGAUGAGGGGGUCUGGAUCCCACCGUCAGAGCACGCACGCAACCUGUCCACUCCCUCAGGACUGCAGAAAAGGUCCAUUCUUGUAUUUCUUUUUAAGUUGAAUUAAAUCCAUCUCUAGCCCCUGCCUCUGAACUGAUGGAGUGUGGCUGUUAUUGGGCCGCCCUCACCCGCAAGGGGUGGAACCAGAGCUUGGGGCUGAGGCGCUCCUGGAGUGUUUAGCGCCUCUGCUGUCAGGACAUCCUGUGGCCACUGGCACGCUGUCUUCCCACACAGAGCCCCCGACCAGCAGCGGAGCCACCCACUCUCCACAGCCAGGGUUGGGAGCCCUGGGGCCCGAGUCCCCGGUCCCACGUGCCACACAAGGCAGGACAUUCUGGGUGCUGUCGCAUCCCCGGAAUCAGGGCCUGGACCCUGGUCAGAGCAGGACCUGCAGGUGACCCCGGGUGGGGCAGACUGUCUUCUGUCCUUGGUGGCAAAGCCGGUGUUCUCGGCGUCAUGUCUGCACACGUGUGCCUGAAGCCACGGGAACGCAGGGGCUACCUCCGGGCCUGGGCCUGGGCUGUGGAGCAGGAUCGGGGAGGACACACAGGUGGGCGUCUCAAGAACUGUGGUGUACACAGCUGAGCCCCUGCAGCUCUGCUUUGCCGGGCCUCACCCUCGGUGCUGGGUGCAAGACGUGACAAGAUGGCAUGGGAAGCUUCCCGGGGAACGCUGGAACUGGGUGUUUGAAGGAGGACCUCAUGGCGGCAGCUCCAGCCCAAGUACUGCAACUGUGGGGCCGUGCCAGGAGCAGGUGCUGCGGAGCCUGUGUGGGUCCAGGACAAGAGGUAAGGGGAGUAUGGACGGGGCUGCACUGUCCUGGGGUUGAGGGCAGGCUUCAGGGGGUAACACUGAAUAGGGACUAGGAAGGUGCAUGCCAGGGGGGGUCCAGGCAGAGACAAGUGGGGGCACAAUCCUCGAGGGGGCAUAGAAGAGGCCAGCAGUGUAAGGCAGGAUGGCGAUGCCCACGGGCUCCAACGCCUGCUGUGUAACUGGAAUUCUGUCUGUGGCCUCCGGCGUCUGACAUGCGUUCUCACACCUGCAGGAGCACCAGAAGCCCCUGGAGGGCCGUGCAGACGACACUGUCGGGCCGGCCCAGCCCAGGCCCCAGCAGUUAUGACUCCUCUGUGAUCAGAGGAUGUGGCUGAGGAUGUGCAUUUCCGUCAAGUUCCCAGGAGAACCUGGUGCUGCUGCUUCGGGGACCCCACUUUGAGGACCACUGAUCUAACACUGCCCCUCGUGGCAAACGCGGAAUGACUCAAGAUUCAGCUGGAUGGAUCAUUCAGGGAGCAAAUCCACCUUUGCCGCCUGGCACACCCUGGCCAUUCGCUCACUGUCCACGUGGACGUAUAAACUAUGGGAGAAACAGUGAUGGCCUCUCCUCCACCACCAGGCUGGCAGGGGUCGUUUGGCUGGCAUCAGGCUGGAGGAGACUCGGAUGGGUAAGACCAACGCACUUAGUUUGGGUGUGUGGGGAGGGCAAGAGGAGCAUGAGCGGCGAUCUGUCUUCCCUGUUGUAAAUCCCCCUGUACGUGCAGGUGCAUGGCGAGAGGGUCUCCACACCUCCCAGCUUUUCUCUGAGGAUGUCCAGAAGGAACGAGCAAAGCAGGAUUGGCCUCCAGAACAGAGGCCCCGAGGCUGACUCCAGAUUUCCUGUGUCUACGACCUAUGUCCUCCCAGCACGCCUGCCCCUUGCGUUCAUGAACAGUGACCCAGCUGCAGGGACUGCGUGGCUGAACGCCGACCAACUGUGGGGCAGUCCUGGGCUGGGCCGUGGCUUGGGACCAAGAAGACACGCAGCAGACACCAGUGAAGCAGGAGUUUUAUUGAGUUCCUCCAUGUCACAUUAAUACAUUAGCUUCAUGACACAGUUUCAAAGACCCGGGUCCUUCUGACGUAGUGUGUUGGAGGCAGCUAGGCCAGCUUGAGGCACUGCGUGUUAAAGCUGUCCCCCUCCUUGCCGGCGACAGCCUCCAGCAGGGCCUGUUUCUUCUGCAUGCUCCGCGAGGACUCCAGCUCGUACAUGGUGGUCAGGUUGAAGAGCACGCUCUCGUGCAGGUAGUGCCUGGGGUCCUGCUGGACCAUGGCCUCCAGCUGCCGCAGGGAGUCCUUCAGCUUGCCCAGGUAGAGCAGACACACGGCAGCGUUGUUGUUGGCCUAGGGAGGAGCACACGCCCAGGGUCGGCCCACACAACCAGGACAGACGCCCGCCCAUUCCAGGCUGUGUGCUGGGCCGUGUUAGGGGCCUGGGGGUGGUGCAGAGCUGCUGGGCAGAGCCUAGGUGGCCCUGUUGGGUCACUUCCCCUAAGGGCCACGGCCACUGCCUGGAGCUGGUGGACUGGAGAGAGAGAGCGCAGGCCCCUGCUGAGACGUGUGUGGGUGUAUGUUUCUAGCGUCUGUGAAAGGCAGAGGACGGAGGAUCCUGCAGCUUGGGGAUCUUACCACUGCGUUUGUUGGAUCCAUCCUUAAGAUCUCUGUGAAGAACCUGUGGGCUUCUGCGAAGUUAUUCUGCCCGAGGUGAAGGAACGCGCUGUAACACAAGCAACGGUGGCAGUUAGCGGGGAAAGCCCAGGAGCUGCUGUCCCCCAACACAACCCACAGGGGCUUUGGAUCCCACAGAGACCCAGCGUAUGGCCCUGCGUGGCCCGGGGUUCCUGAUCUCCAGGUAGAGGCGGUGAGCUGCGUUUUGCAUUCAGGCUCGCACAUUAAAGCCACUCUAGUUUUUAUUUAUUUUUAUUUUUUAGACGGAGUUUUGCUCUCGUUGCCCAGGCUGUAGUGCAGUGGCACGAUCUCGGCUCACCGCAACCUCCGCCUCCUGGAUUCAAGCAACUCUCCUGCCUCAGCCUCCCAAGUAGCUGGGACUACAGGCGCAUGCCACCACGCCUGGCUGAUUUUUUGUAUUUUUAGUAGAGAUGGGGUUUCACCAUGUUGGCUGGGCUGGUCUUAAACUCCUGACCUCAAGUGAUCUACCUGCCUCAGCCUCCCAAAGUGCUGAGAUUACAGGCAUGAGCCACUGCACCCGGCCAAGCCACUCUAGUUUUUAUUAAUUGAGAUACAGUAACUUCACCUAAAUGACUUCCUGCUAAAAACGGACACCUGCUUCAUUUACGCUUUCUGAUCCUGGGUGCAGGCUUUGUCCAAGGCGUGUUUCCUCCUCACGAACGUGCACUCGCACGACGCUGUGCGUUCUACCACAGAACACCAGAGCACAGGAUCCAGACACAGAACACCAGGGCACAGGAUCCAGACACAGAACACCAGGGCACAGGAUCCAGACACAGAACACCAGGGCACAGGAUCCAGACACAGAACACCAGGGCACAGGAUCCAGACACAGAACACCAGAGCACAGGAUCCAGACACAGAACACCAGAGCACAGGAUCCAGACACAGAACACCAGAGCACAGGAUCCAGAACGGCCGCUACGCCAGCAAUGGUGACCUUUACGCACACAUACGCUGCAAACGGGGGCAAUACAAGCGCUUCUCUGAAGAACAAGGGGGAAAUAGCUCCUUAAAAAUCAGCUUCUGUGACUAAAAGAACAUCACUGCAAUUCAAGAAAACACCCGUGUACUCCUUGGGUCUCAGCUCUGAGAGACACAGGGCAAGAGGAGAUACCGGGAGAAGCGCCUUCUCUAGGGAGCUUUCCGACUCAGUAAGUGGGGCUUGAACGCCUCUGGGAAAUUUGAGAAAACAUAUAUUUAGUUUUAAAAUAUUUACCUGUUCAUCAAAACCAUGAUUUUACCCUGUAGUCCAUCUAAUUUCUGUGUCACUUUCUCAACGUCUUGAAAAUACUUUUCAGCUGUUUUUAUGUCUCCAA
rnacentral:lncRNA from 1 species